AUGAAGGUUCUAGAACCUUCCACGAAAUGUGCCGGGUCAGGUAUGAGUCACCUGUGGAGGACGCCAAGCCCAGGGGCUACCUGCACCUCUGCAGAGUCCAAGAGGCUCAGAGACACUGCCUGGACCUGCGUGGGGCGCCUGGGAGCCGUGCCCACCCGCUGCACCUGCCGGGCUCGCCUGCCUCCCCGGCCACAGCUGUCUGAGCCCUGCAGCUGGGCCACAGCCCGCCCACCGCUGGGCCUUUGCACGUGCCGGCCUCCUGCCAGGACACUUCUCCGGCCUGUGCCGGCUGACACCACGGCCUCCUGCAGGCCUCAGCUCAGGGGCAGCGCCUCCAGGAAGCCCUCGGCGCUUCCCGGCCCGGGCAGAACCACAGCACAGCAGGGCACGAGGGCGCUCCCAGGCAGCCACGAGCCCACGCGUCGGCAGAUCCCGGCUGCUCCCGGCACGGACAAGAGGCAGAUCCGGAUUUGCAGCCUGGCUCUCCACGUGGCCUGCGGCAGGAGGCCGCCCCCCCCGCCCCACCGAGACUCAGCUUCUUACCCUGUAAAAUGGGACUCACAACAGCGCCCCCCACUCCCCUCCCGCUAAGUCGUGGGAAGAUGCCACGGGAGCCGUCCAGAUCCCCCGUGGCGAUGUGGGCCGGGUGCCCAGGGCAGGCACCACAGCUGCCCGAUGUCCUGGUGACCACGCCCACAGCCCCGCCCUGCGCGGCGGCCAGGAGCCCAGGUCUCAGAAGAGACUCAGAGAGGCCACGUGAUUUGCCCAAGGUCACGCAGCUGGGAGGCAGCCGAGCCCAAGCGAGGGCCUGGCGACUGGGAGACCCCACUGAGCCGCGGAAGCCGAGGGCCGGGGGCUGAGUCCAGGCCACUCCUCCUAGGAACGCCCUCCUGCUCUACACAGGUGCACACGGAGCCGCCCCCGGGGACAGCCCGGGAGAACUCCGCUCUAGGAGAAUCAAGGCAAAAGCCGUCCUAGCUGUCUGGCUGCGGGGUGGCUCGGGAGGACCUCGACUACAGUCCAGCA
rnacentral:lncRNA from 1 species